AGCAUCUCAACAGUCAGUCCCUCCAGAAAAAUGCGACUAUGCGAUUGCAUAAUUCAAUGCAUAAUCAGCCAAAGUCCACAUAUUUAUGCAGAUGCCGCUUUUUUUUCAAAUACGCCGCAUUUUUGCUGCCUAAAUUGCAGAUCUUCGCGCAAAAUAAUGCAGAUUUCAUAAUCCCCACAA